AGACACGGUGAGAAAAAAAAUAUGCCGCGCUGAAGGUUCCAGGAGUGACAGCCGCGCGGAACGUGUACGUUGUCGCUGAUGAGUCUGCGCAUGGGACGUCGGGAAUCACGCCCUGCGCAGUGGGAGUGAGCAGCGAGAGGGAAAGUGAUUUUGAAAGCGUGAUUGCGCACACAAAAAAAAAGGCGUUGCGCUUUAACCACCUUAAUGGUGAAUAAUUGCAGCGCGAAGAGGUUGAAAAGACUUCUCCGAUGGAACACUUAGCUGAUGACGGCGUCUGAUAAUGGGGCAUUCCAGAAUCUUCUUCCCUUCAGCAAUAAAGGUUUUGUCCGCAGUGCAUAACUCGUGGAUGGAGGAUUCGUGUGGGGUUGAGAAAUGGAACCCCUUUGGUGAGCUGUGAAAUAUUUGCCUUCUGGGUCACUUCAUGAAUAAAACUCGGUCAGAGCACUGCGCUGGCAUUACUGAGAUCCUGGGUUCAUAUCUGCGCAGCCACCCAUAACUAAACUGGGCCCUCAUGUACGGGUCUACUUUCUCCAGGGGAUUUCUGUCACGACUUCUCCACCCCGAACUGUAAACACGAUAAGCUUUCGGUGGUGGCUGUCACGUGCUUGGGACGGCUGCCACGAACGCCGUGCACCGGGACACGUUACUAGCCUUGCUCUGUGCGAGCCCUCAACAACAAACGCGGGGCACUGCCUCCUCAACUCAACUCGUCUCGCCAAUCCAUUGGGGCCCCUUCUCAAGCCCAGCACUGCUUUGGCCACAGCGUGACUUCUAUUGCAUCCAUCAUCAUUAGCUAAGAUAAAUCCACUGCUGGAUGAAGGCUUCCCCCCUCCCUCCCCCCCAAGCUGUCGCCAUCUCUCAGGAUGCUGCGAUUGAACAAUACUCCGACCACCAGCACACAAGCAAUUGUUCAGUAUAAAUUGCGUGAACGUGAAGAUCGCAAGGCAAGCUUUGCGGGAAAAUUUAAUUGGAAGUGUGCGCGUACGUGUUUGCUUAGAUUUAAACAUCUCGGUCGUUUGGUACGUCAUGUACGGUGUGGAAAAGCGUGGGUAUUUCCACUUAUUCUAAGAUAUUUGGGCCAGCUUAGAAUUUGAGAAUUACCCUUUAGGGGGGCUCUCUUGAGCUUCCUCUAGCAGAGGCCCUCCUGCCGGUAGCAGCAUAGGCAAGAAGUGGCAGUGAUGCAUCUUUACCUUUUGCACACACAGUAUUAAAAACUAUAUAUAUUUAAAAAAAUACCAGGUAAGGUCCACUGAGCUAUUUAGCUGUUUUAUCCAUCACCCUAUUGGGUCACCAAAGCAAUGUGAUGACAAAUAAUAGUUAUGCAUUUGUUGGAGGAGAUACAGAACAACAACACAUUAUGACUUGUUACGCAAUAUAUGUACACAUAAUUUGAGUGUCAUUUCGUACUCGUGGCCUCGUUUAGAGCACCCUGGUUUCAACCCAGACCUGGAAAGCCAGUCUUUUAAACAAGCCUCCAUUUUGUUAUUGGAUUCUGAGCUUAUGUCUUUUGAACUUCAAAGUCUCUAUGAACUCGUAUCUCUAUUGUGACAACUUUUGAUGUUUUGCUUUUGUUGGUGCCAUUUCUUUAUUUGAAUUUUUGUUUAUAUUUUCUCGAUAGUAGGGUUUUAAUUUGCUUGGUAGUAGCUGUUUCUCGGUUUUGGUCCAUAUAUAUAAUUAAUGUACAGCAUUAUGGAAUGCAAUUAGCAUGAAUGACGCUAUAUAAAGUGAAAGUAUUAUUUAUAGAUAGACAAACAUAACAUUUCCGAACGUUUGUGUGAGUGACCCAACACAUUUCUCCAAAAAAAGUAGCACGUAGGUUUCCGCAGCCACUCGCAAUUGCAAGUGUGGUCUUUCAGGUUAGGCCUUGUGUUGAGUGUGCCUCUUCUUCAGCUUUUGCCACACACUACUUAGGGCAUCUUUCUGCUCGUCCAGCCACCUUAAGGAGAUGAAAAUGGCCACAGUGGCACGUAGCAAAAGUUUGAGAGGUGAUAUACUCAACGGCACCUAAACCGAAAAAGCCCUGAAAAUGGAAAUGUGCUCAAUUUCCAGAAGCAGGACCUUCGUAGUGUGAGUCAUGAUCCAGAAUGAAUAAAAUAGUUGAUUUUAAACAAUUGAUGGUGAAUAGUAAGUCUUGACAAAGACAAUGACAGUGAGCCAGGAUUAUUCACACACCAUCUCCCGCCUGGCUUUCAUAUGUGCUUAGUUGAUGAUUGCAUUGCUCCAAGGUGCAUGACUUUCGCAGGCAGAUAUUUGUUUUCGGAAUAUAUAUAAAAUGUCUUUGUUCACGAUGGAUCUGUUCACUGUUCCGUUAUACAAUCAAAGAGGGAUGGCUACAUAAGCAAAUAUCCCUUUCGCUCUCAAUAGGCAAACGUGAUGAUGAGAAAAAGUGUUAAACCCUUUGGGCAAUAUAAAUGUAGACUUUAAACUUUCGUGGCUGCAGUAAUUCAUAUUCUUGGUUCUUUUGGUAAAGUCAUGUAGAUAAGAUUUUCAAAAGUAAAAAUUUAAAUAAACAUUUUUUUUAACAAUACAUGGGCAAUGACAGCAAUGACAACAUUGUCCAUGAUAGAGGUGUCUUAGGUUAUAUUACACAAAUAUAAAUGUGUCGUUAAACCGGCCACCACCCGAUACAGCCAAUUAGUCAG